GGGGAACACAGCUCAGCAGCUCAGCGCAGGCUGGGAGGUCGGACUGGGUCCGCGCUGCGUUCAGGGACUGGUUGAACUCGUAGGCGUUCGAGGGCUUGAGGUUGAUGGUUACUGCCUCCUCUCCUCUUCCUCCUCCUCCUCUUCCUCCACAGUGGGUAUCUGGUGGGGCUGGGGUUGAUGUGGAUGUUGUUGAUGUUUCUCCUGUCUCCGAUUCUGCUGCUUUGGUCCUGUCUGGCGCUGCGGCCUGCCGGGCUUCGUCCUCAGUCCCCUCAACCUGACGGUGGACAAGUCGAGAGCUUGUAAACAUCUAGACACCGCUUUAUGGCCCCUAAUUACAUUACCCGUGUCCUUCCCCAUUAUUACAUUACCCGUGUCCUUCCCCAUUAUUACAUUACCCAUGUCCUUCCCCAUUAUUACAUUACCCGUGUCCUUCCCCAUUAUUACAUUACCCGUGUCCUUCCCCAUUAUUACAUUAGCUGUGUCCUUCCCCAUUAUUACAUUAGCUGUGUCCUUCCCCAUUAUUACAUUAGCUGUGUCCUUCCCAUUAUUACAUUAGCUGUGUCCUUCCCCAUUAUUACAUUAGCUGUGUCCUUCCCCAUUAUUACAUUAGCUGUGUCCUUCCCCAUUAUUACAUUAGCUGUGUCCUUCCCCAUUAUUACAUUAGCUGUGUCCUUCUCCAUUAUUACAUUAGCUGUGUCCUUCCCAUUAUUACAUUAGCUGUGUCCUUCUCCAUUAUUACAUUAGCUGUGUCCUUCCCCAUUAUUACAUUAGCUGUGUGCUUCCCCAUUAUUACAUUAGCUGUGUCCUUCCCCAUUAUUACAUUAGCUGUGUCCUUCCCCAUUAUUACAUUACCCGUGUCCUUCCCAUUAUUACAUUAGCUGUGUGCUUCCCCAUUAUUACAUUAGCUGUGUCCUUCUCCAUUAUUACAUUACCCGUGUCCUUACCAUUAUUACAUUAGCUGUGUCCUUCCCCAUUAUUACAUUAGAUGUGUCCUUCCCCAUUAUUACAUUAGCUCUGUGUCCUUCUCCAUUAUUACAUUACCCGUGUCCUUCCCAUUAUUACAUUACCCGUGUCCUUCCCCAUUAUUACAUUAGCUGUGUCGUUCUCCAUUAUUACAUUACCCGUGUCCUUCCCAUUAUUACAUUAGCUGUGUCCUUCCCCAUUAUUACAUUAGAUGUGUCCUUCCC
rnacentral:lncRNA from 1 species